UUCUGGGGGCCGUCCUAUUUGAACUUGAACGCCGCCUCCUGCGUCCUCCUCCCACCGUGCCAACCGGAGGGUGUGUCAAGAUCUGAGCCGUCCAGGUGCAUCCUGACUCCUGCUCAUCAUCAUUUCACAGCCAGCUUUCUUCAGGGACAGACAACAGAGGCUGGUGAGCGCCGACACAUUACUGCAUGACGCAGCGAGGCGCGCCAACAUCUCACAGAUCUGUCAGUGCGAUCGGCGGCAGCUUUUACUCACAGGAAGUGGCUGCUGCAGCUGCAACGUCUUGAGGAGCAGACUCUGAGACGCACCGUUGGAUCGCUUGUGGCUCUGGCCAAUCAUUUUGUUCAAGUCAUGGAACGAGUCCAGAAGCCUUCAGAGACAAAAUCCAACAACAAGGAGAGGAAACAGACAGAAUUAAUGGCAAGAUUACAAGGAUCCACUGUCGCUAUGUGCAUGCUCGGUAUGAGGGAUUGCUGCAAAGUGAACGACGUAAUGCAAUCUGCUGGCUUUCCUUGAAUAGGAAACUUUCUGACCACUCUGUAUAUUUUAAUUGAAAUUCCGUUGUAAAAUGCAAUUUAUAAUCUGUUAUAAAUUGGCACUGUGUUAAUACAUUGA